CCAACUUACAAAGAUGUAACACAAAUUUGUGCAUUAUUCUUCUCUAACAGAGCAAUCCAAGGCCUCUCUGAACGAAAAAAACCACCAUCAUUGUGCACAAAUAGCAACAACCAGCUAGAAAUUCUAAAUGACCAAAAAUAUUUGAUAAAAGUCACCCGAAAAGCACAAGCAACCCAUCCAAACUCUAUGCCAAGAAGCCGGAACAGGAAAUAGAAGAAACUCCUCUGCCGAAAGAUCAUUAGAACACCAUUUACUAGCCUAGAAAUAGCUUCAAGAUUGAGAUGCAUCAGAACAAGAAUGCUUAGCCGAGCAACAAAGAAGAAGAGAAAACCAUCGAGCAGAGGAAGAGAUAAUUUCACCACAAUAAGUUCUCAAAACACCAAGAACUCCAUCAAAGAUGCACCAAAACAGAUAUUCUUGGUCAAGCAUCCGAGACUACCACAUACCAUUUUCUCAGUGAAACAUUAACGCAUGCAGGUUAACGAAUAAGCACUCUUUAAAGAGCAUCACAAUGCAAGAGCCCAACCAAGCAACCAAUAAGACUAGAUACCCAUUUUCCACUAAACCAUCGAGGAACCCUAAGCUCGAAGAAACAAAACCAGCGGCCUGUACCAAAUGCACCACCAGAAAGAAAAGAACAUUCACCAAUAUUAACUGUGACAAAAGCUCACAUUAACCAUAAGCAACAAGAACAAAAUCAACAACCACUGUAUCACAGAACCGGGGCAGAGAAACUGAAGGAGUGGGAGAAAAGGAAAACUCGGUUGAGGAAGAGGGGAUCAACGGCGCACCUGCUGAAUGAUAUCAGUGGUGACUUGAUUUGGGGAAGCAUAGGCUGCCAUCAUGGGCUGCUGCAUCUGCAUGAGGUGCUGCUGCAUCUCCCAAACCCACCCUUCCUUUCUAGACACCCUCGCUGCUCCUCUUUUAGGUUAUAUAUACAUGAAAGAGAGAAGCAAGAAGAGAUGAGAGGGCAGGGUGGUGUCUUCUUCAGCUUGCUUGGGGAUUUCUUCAAGCCUUCUCCCUCCCUUGUAGUUGCUGUCAAAGGUUCCACUCACCGA
rnacentral:lncRNA from 1 species